UACGGGGGGAGCAAGCGUUGUUCGGAUUUACUGGGCGUAAAGCGUGUGUAGGCGGCCAAGCAAGUCGGAUGUGAAAGCCCCGGGCUCAACCCGGGAAGUGCACCCGAUACUGCCUGGCUUGAGUAUCGGAGAGGUUGGUGGAAUUCUCGGUGUAGAGGUGAAAUUCGUAGAUAUCGAGAGGAACACCGGUGGCGAAGGCGGCCAACUGGACGAAUACUGACGCUGAGACACGAAAGCGUGGGGAGCAAACAGG
rnacentral:rRNA from 1 species